rnacentral:rRNA from 1 species
CACGAACCGUACGAACGUUAUUCGGAAUUACUGGGCUUAAAGGGUUUGUAGGCGGCCAUGUAAGUCAGGUGUGAAAUCCCUCGGCUCAACCGAGGAACGGCGCUUGAUACUGCAUGGCUUGAGGGAGACAGGGGUAAGCGGAACUGAUGGUGGAGCGGUGAAAUGCGUUGAUAUCAGCAGGAACACCGGUGGCGAAAGCGGCUUACUGGGUCUCUUCUGACGCUGAGGAACGAAAGCUAGGGUAGCGAACGGG